AGGGUCUACAGGUUCUGAACUUAUCCUUAGGCCUCGUUCGAUCCCCACAGAACUCCCGAGCCGCCGACCCACAUGAGCCAUUUCUUCCGAUUUGCCGCCGGUGAAGAAAGGUGGGCGGGUGAGUCCAUGAGUCCGUAAGGUGUGAAUCCACGCCAACCUCGUUGAGUCUAGCGGAGCGGCAGGGAGGGCCAUUGCGAGCGCGGCGCGCUGCUGAACCGGCGGCUAGUGGCUGUGGUGGAGAUGCUGGAGGUUGGUGGCACCGAGGAGGCGGUGAGGGAGCACCGGUUCACGGAUUUUCUGGACGAAAUCAUGCGAUUCGGUCUAAGUUUGUUGGUGGCAAGGCAACAAUGUCAGCGCAACAAAUGUCCCAAAAAGAAUGGUUGUUCGGAUGGAGGAUGCUGAAGAAUGGCUGGAUGGACAGAGGAUGGCCUGCUGCGAUGGUCCAUGGGAGGUAUGGGGGUAACAGAGGCAAGAUGCAUAUAAGGAGACCGUUGGAUAAUCAAAUAGCAGCAAGAUGUUAGUGGCUUCUGGGGACGGCAUGGCUCCUACAAAAUGUGAAGUACCAGCUAAUGGCUUCAAUUGCUAGCUUCAAGGAGACGGCUGUAGGGUUACCUCAUCAUCGUCGUCAUCUCUGCCGCCACCGCUGCUUCUUCGACGUCUACGUCUCAAGGUGGGAAUGGGCCGGGUCGACCCACCGGGUCUUUGGCCCGACCCAAAAAAACAAGGCCAAUGGGUCAGUCGGGUCGGCCUCAUACAAAAAUCGGGCCAGUAGAGCCGGCACGGAGUGCCCAUCGGGUCAGCGGGGCCGACCCACCUCCGAGAGUACUGGAGUCAAUCGGUAUCGCCAAAUCCAUCUUACUAGCUUAGCUUAUCU
rnacentral:rRNA from 1 species